GUUUUUCCUGUUCGCAGAAACAGGUUCGACAAAAGGUAUUCGUUAGCAGGUGUUCGCUGUUCAUUUACUUGUCAAAAUAAACAAAAUAAACUGGCAGGAAUGUGGCGAGAAAUGGAGGGAGCAGUUUAAAAUUACGAAAAGGAAAAAAGAAGAAGGAGGAGAAAUGGAGGGAGAAGAGGGCAGUAAUAGCCCGGAAAAUGAAUCCCCCAGCUGUCAGGUUGAUCUGAAGUCAUCUAUAGACAACUUGAUACAAGAAGUGGCAACGCAGGAAGCAAUUGGAUCAGUUGACCCCAAUGCCCUUGUCACGCAGUUACUUAACUCUGCAUCAAUCCAGUCCAUGCUUCAAAGGGUGUCAGUUGGCCAGUAGAGGCCAUAAGAAUAGAGAAGGUUUACAUAGCAACCUUCCACCUCAGGUUCAAGAAAAAUUGGUGCCUGGACAUCGCUAUAUAUACGUGCACAUUGCUGGUGGACGAGCUUUUGUAGACCUCAGAA